rnacentral:lncRNA from 1 species
GAGAGCAGCAUGUGGCUAGAGCAGAGGCUCCAGGAGUUUAUCGUGGGUCUGAAUCACCUGGGUCGGGUAGCUGGUUAACUGCUGGGCCCUGCGUGCAGAGAGGCUGGAUUGUCCUGCCUUCCUGAGGAGUUGCCAGUUGCUGUCAGCUCCUCCCGAGUCUGGCUCCACGCCGCCCCUGCCAGGGUCUUUGUGUUCCAAGCUCGCCUCUCUGCUAGCAGGGGAGGACUGUGCUGGGAGGAUUUGGGGCACGAAGGAGCCCAGGUUGAAUGUCAAAGCUUAGAGAUCACAGGAACCUGAGCCCUCGGACAGAAUGGUCUUACCCACAGCGAUCCAGGCCAGAGGGGCAGAGCAAAAAGUAGACCGGGGUCUCCUGACUUCCCAGCCAGGACACUUCCCAUGACAUCCUGACGUGUGCCCAGAGGCGGCCUGGCGCUCCCUGCAUGUGCCCGGGGAACAGCCAGCUCCCCACCUCACGCCUGCGCCAUCACUGGGCAUUCGGGUUGUUUCUCCUUUGAUUGUUUAUGAUUGAAGAUGACAUGGCUGUAAACAUCUAACAUCUGAGUUUAAAUGGCUUCUUUUGGAUUGUUUUUCCUCAGGCUAAUGUCCUCAGAGUAGAAUUACUGGGUCAAGAAGUACAGACAGUGUUGUAGCUGGAAGUGAGCUAGAUGUAGCAACUCUCCCACAGAAGGGAACCUCUUAUUUGCCAGAAACCGUAAGAUGUCUGGCGAUGGUGUUGGAAGCAGGUCAGGGAGUGGAAAGAGGGCCCGGGGCUGAAUCUUCAAGCGGGCAGUGGGAGACAGCUGUGGCUGAGAUAAGGGCGUUCGGGCCCAGGAGUGCAAUGCCUGUCAACCGCUGGUAAUUUCCCCAAGAAAUGGUGUUUGGACUAGUGCCUCACAAACAUUUCUGUGCAUAGGAAUGCCCUGAGGGUCUCUUUAAUACGCAGAGUCUGAUUCUGGGGUAGCGCCUGGGGCCGAGCCCAAGAGUCUGCAUUUUUAAUAAGCUCCAGGUGGUGCUGAUCCUGCCAAUCAACGGACCACACUUUGCAGCGGCAGGAGUUUAGGUUACUCUGAUUUUGUUCUUGCUAUUCCUCUGCCUAACCCACCAUUCCCACCAUUUUCAGACCUGGCUCCCAAGACUUACCUGGAUUGACCUCACCAGGCUGGGUUAGGA